rnacentral:miRNA from 14 species
AAAAAUCACAGUCAUCCAUU